rnacentral:tRNA from 1 species
GCCGACAUAGCUCAGAGGUAGAGCAGGGGUUUUGUAAACCUCAGGUCGGGGGUUCGAAUCCCUCUGUCGGCU